GCCUCUGGUGGCUGCCUCCAGUGCACCCUGUCUCAAGAUCUUACAUGUGCCAGUUUUCUACCUGGACUGAUAUGCAGAUAGCUAUGGAAGGAACAAAGCUCUCAUAAACUCUGUGAUCACCUCAGGGAGCCCCACCCCCGCACCAGGGGUCUACAUAAUGCAAUAUGAAGCAAUGAUGGUCUGUCACAGUCUUGCUUGGAAUCACACUUCAAAAGUCAGUUGGUGGCCAAGACAACGGAGAAGGAAGCUUCUAGAAAAAGAAUCACAAAACCCUAUUGCCUAAACACCAGAGUCCCCAUUAUCCACUGAGGCUGAUGUAUCUAUCGCAGAUCAUCUGCUGGAGGCACUGGCUAAGGCACAGAGCAGGUCUGGGGCAUGGAUGCACAACGCUCAAGGCCAUUGAGUUUCCCAAGAUUGAAACAGAAGGAGAGGCCAGGAGGGUGCUGAACAUCGGUGGCUGCAGUGACCUGAACAGACACAUGGACACCAAUGUCCGCCGGAGCGGCAGAUUUCCGAAAGCAACUUAGCCGUCUGUCCACCAACAGAUGGAAAACCAAAAGUGACAUGCACAUUGUUGUGGUCAGGUAUUACAUGUCCUCCACCAGUGCACAUGGAGGGUGUUUUGUCCCCAGAAGGAAGCACUAUUUUGGGAAGUGAGAAACUUCAGGAGCUGGAGAAAGCAUGUCACUGUGGGGUGUGUGUGCCCUUGAAGAGUCCACCGGCACCUACUUUCUCCCCACCUCACCGCGGUUUCCUGGCUACUGUGAUGCUCUUGGUGGCUUUGCUCCACCACGUCUCGCCUGCCGUGAUGGACAGAGGCCUCUGAAAAUGUGAGCUACUCCUUCCUUCCUUAAGUGGCUUCUCUUAGGGCGUUUGUCAGAAGAGAAAGAACAGCACAGAGAUGCAAGGCAGUGCUAGCACACUUUAGAAAGAAUUCUGACACUAGCUGAAACACGACGGAGCUGAACACGAUGUGAAAAGGGAAACUGAGGAAGAAGACACGCAAAGUCACGGAACUGAAGUUCCAAAGGAUUUACCGAUAGGUCUGCGUAGAGACGUUAAACGCACAAAAUAGAGCCUAGCUAAGGGCACGCUGCUUCCAGAACACCCCAAAAGAGGCGGAAUGAAGAAAGGUGGUUACCGGGAGAUGGAAGGAAGGAAAAUAGUUAAUGUCUGAUGAGUCUGGUUUCAACUUGGGAGUGAGACAGUGAGAGACAGGGAAAAUUUAAAAGACACGGGAAGAGAAGAAGCGCUUUACUGUUAGACCUGCUGAGCAGCCAGAACUUCAGCCUAACUGAUAAGGCCCGGAAUUACAUGCAGAGACAAGUUGUCCGAGAGACAGCUCAAGGAUAUUAAAAACAACUAACUAUGCCUAGUCAAGGCGUCUCUCUCAUCCCUACACCUAAACAAUGUGUCUCAUAAACCACCUUACAAUGCCAUGUAUAAA